AAAAAUCGGGGGACGCUACGGACUUAAAAUCCGUCGACUAAGUGGG
rnacentral:tRNA from 1 species